rnacentral:rRNA from 1 species
AAAGCACUCUGAAGAGAGAGUCAAAAGACCGUGAAACCGCUCAGAGUAUAAGCCAAUGGAGCUUGGAAGGCUUCCGCAGUCUCGGGCAUCUAUAUGGUGUUCCGCAAGGCAUGUAGCACGGCUCGUUAGGCGGAGCAUUGAGUUUUCUGACCAGCUGUCGUGCGGGGAAUCGGUUUGGGGGUCUUAGGCUUCGGCCGAAGGACUUCUGGCCGGUUCCUUUUGAAUGGACGUUCAGAGCUACUGUGUCCUAAUGCGGUUAUGCCCACCACGGCACGUUGUGAGGUCACCCACAGGCUCAAACUGCCGAUCGCGAUUCCAGGACAACGGCGACGAUGCGUCUCCGCAUUGCCUCUCACACGGGGCAAUGACGCGUGUCAAGUCCUGGGUCGGGCGGCGACCGAGUUAAACCUGGUAUGAUCCUCAUGCGACGAGCUGCUUUCUGGCCAGACCGACGUCCGGGCGCUUCCACUUGCCGGAAGUGUCUAUCCCAGGCGGUUGACCCAGCUGCAUUCUGCAAGGUCACUCAGCCGGGCGUUGGUCUGAGUGGUGUUAAGUCCAGCACCAUCGGUCACGUCUCGAAACACGGGCCAAGGAGUAUAGCAUGUGUGCAAGUCUAAGGGUCUCACAAAACCCGAAGGCGAAGUGAAAGCAAGACUGAGGCGGGGGAGCUUCGGCGAACCCGCCGGCCUAGUGGCACACCUUGUGUGUUGCCCGGCUUUUGUCAGAGCUGAUCCUGUUUAAUCUCGGUUAAUUCCUGGUGCAGGCGCAAGCUCCGGGCUCACGCACAACACUGGUCACACCUCGUGUGUGGCUGUGUUGUGAGCACCGUGGAGCAUGCAUGCUAUAACCCGAA